rnacentral:rRNA from 1 species
UGAGGAAUAUUGGUCAAUGGGCGGGAGCCUGAACCAGCCAAGCCGCGUGAGGGAGGAAGGCCCUAUGGGUCGUAAAUCUCUUUUGUCAGGGAACAAAAGCGAGUAUGUAUACUAGUCUGAGUGUACCUGAAGAAAAAGCAUCGGCUAACUCCGUGCCAGCAGCCGCGGUAAUACGGAGGAUGCGAGCGUUAUCCGGAUUUAUUGGGUUUAAAGGGUGCGUAGGCGGCGGUGCAAGUCAGCGGUAAAAGCCCGGGGCUCAACCCCGGCGAGCCGUUGAAACUGCAGUGCUAGAGAAGGCGAGAGGUACGCGGAAUGCGCAGUGUAGCGGUGAAAUGCUUAGAUAUUGCGCAGAACUCCGAUUGCGAAGGCAGCGUACUGGCGCCUGACUGACGCUGAGGCACGAAAGCGUGGGGAUCGAACAGGAUUAGAUACCC